rnacentral:rRNA from 1 species
AUUAAACGCUGGCGGCAUGCCUUACACAUGCAAGUCGAACGGCAGCACGGGGGCAACCCUGGUGGCGAGUGGCGGACGGGUGAGUAAUGCAUCGGAACGUGCCCUGAAGUGGGGGGAUAACGCAGCGAAAGCUACGCUAAUACCGCAUAUUCUGUGAGCAGGAAAGCAGGGGAUCGCAAGACCUUGCGCUUUGGGAGCGGCCGAUGUCGGAUUAGCUAGUUGGUGGGGUAAAGGCCUACCAAGGCGACGAUCCGUAGCGGGUCUGAGAGGAUGAUCCGCCACACUGGGACUGAGACACGGCCCAGACUCCUACGGGAGGCAGCAGUGGGGAAUUUUGGACAAUGGGCGGAAGCCUGAUCCAGCCAUGCCGCGUGAGUGAAGAAGGCCUCGG